AGUUUGAUCCUGGCUCAGGACGAACGCUGGCGGCGUGCUUAACACAUGCAAGUCGAACGGUGAUGUCAGAGCUUGCUCUGGCGGAUCAGUGGCGAACGGGUGAGUAACACGUGAGUAACCUGCCCCCGACUCUGGGAUAACUGCUAGAAAUGGUAGCUAAUACCGGAUAUGACGAUUGGCCGCAUGGUCUGGUCGUGGAAAGAAUUUCGGUUGGGGAUGGACUCGCGGCCUAUCAGGUUGUUGGUGAGGUAAUGGCUCACCAAGCCUACGACGGGUAGCCGGCCUGAGAGGGUGACCGGCCACACUGGGACUGAGACACGGCCCAGACUCCUACGGGAGGCAGCAGUGGGGAAUAUUGCACAAUGGGCGCAAGCCUGAUGCAGCAACGCCGCGUGAGGGAUGACGGCCUUCGGGUUGUAAACCUCUUUUAGUAGGGAAGAAGCGAAAGU
rnacentral:rRNA from 1 species